AAAGGUGAAAGUGGAUGUCAAGUACACAUUAAAUAUGCUAAAAAUUCCUUCUAUAUCUAAACCAGGUUGAGAUCUACAGCCGGUAAGUAGUAAAUAUUCAGUGUUUUGGAAAAUUUCAAUUGAUAGACUUGCAUAGAUGACUCUCAAGCAUUGCUAACACCUUCUCCUUUGUCUGAACCAUGCAAUUCAAAGGGUGUGAAAGGCUCUGUCCAGGACAGGGUGCUGUCUGUAAUGGCUCCCCACAGUGCUGAAAGAAGCAGGAUGAAAUAUCAGAGUUAUUAAUAUUAGAAGACAAAACCAGAUGCCCUCACAGAAAGGACACCCUCAUGGAACAGGCAGCCCAAAGUGUAACUAGUGACUGCUCUGUGUCCUGCCAUGGACAAGGACAAGUCAGCAACACAAACAGCAACUCUUGAGCUGCUCCAGUUUAGUCACUGGGAUUUUACUGUGCGUUGGCCAUUUCAGGUGCCUUGGGACACUGUGAGUGAUUCAGAGUGUCUCAUCUGCCUCUGAGGUCAGUGACCUGCAGGAGUGAGGUGGAGAAAUCCCCAGGCAGGAUAAACUGUUCCUCUCCAGCUUUAAGGUACCUGUGUCCAUCGCAGCCUGCACUUUGCAACAGUGAGAACUGAAAAACACGGGCUCCCUCCACAUCACUGCUCAGUAGCUUUAGACUUUGAAAUCUUUUUCAGGUGGAAAAAGUAUAGAGAAAACAGCAUUCAUUGCAUUCUUAUUUCACAGCUGAAUAAGUAUUGGAAUCUGCAGAUAAAAGGUUGAAAAACUUUAGCAGUGUAUUGAUAAAUCUUGUGAGAAAGAAAGCACAGAGCCUAUAUGUAAUUAAACUCUGUCGGCUUCCCUGUUUUGGCUGGGGUAAAGUUAAUGUUCUUCACAGUAGCUGGUAUGGAGCUGUGUUUUGGAUUUUUGCUGGAAAUAGAUGAAGCUGUAAUUUCUGUGGUGUGAGAAUGACAAUUUUUGAGUCCUUGAGAGCAAUUAUAGCUUCUUUGGGUAUUAUGCCCUUGCAUACCAGAAUCAGUGUUUUAUUUCCACUGUAUUUUUGUAUGAAGCAGUAUCCUGUACUAGUGACUCUCUGCACUUCAACUCAUCAAUCUGAGACAUAAUUUAAGUUAUUAGUAAUUUAUUUGUAAUAUUUUUUUCCAAAAGAGAAUAUAAACUUUAAUAACUUACUGAGGUAUAUAUAAUGCACACUUACUCCAUAUGAAGGAACAGUUUUUAAACCUAGAAUAAACUGAAAUCCUAGAACAGAUGACAUGAUAAAUGGAGGUGCAGUGUCAGCUGGAUUAGUGUGGAGCCACAGUGUGAACUUUGGCAAAUUAGAAGGCUCCUGAGUUGCUAAUUCCAGCUGCAGGAAGAUUGGUAGAGCUAGUCUUGUCCAUCUGAUCUAUCUGUUUUGGUUUGGAUGUAUGAAUUAAUCUGCUUUAAAUUCUUCUCUCAAAUCUAAACACACAGCCCCUGCUGACAGUAGCAGGACCUGUGCUCAGGUGUGGUCCUGAAGACCAUUCUGUAAUUAUAAUAUGUGGGAAAUCUUGGUUUUUAAAGACACUCCUAAAUGUUUCCUUGAGCCCUGGAAUGUCAGUGCUGAAGGGCCUUUUUGCCCAGUGAAACAAGAUCAGACCUGAGUGAAGAUUUCUUUUUGGCACUGAGCUGUGGUCCUCAAGGUGUUCUACCUACUGCUGCUCUCCACAGACACACUCCUGCAGUGUGCUCCAUGUGCUAUCACAGUCAACAACAGAUUAAAACCCAAUCAAGUGAUUUUGUUUUCAUUGCUUUCAGCUCUACUCACCUGUUGCCCCUAGAUGGGCCUGAUAUCCUACCUCUGCCAGGGCUAGUUAGUUGACUGUGCAUUAGAGAAGACAGUUUGGCUUUAAUUACACAUUUUGAAACUUUGCAGACCAAUUUAAGCUGUUGGGCUUCUUUUGUGAGGAAUUAAAUCAUCCUUGUGCUAUAUAACACUGUACUGAAUUUUGGAAAACCUACCCACUUACUGUCAUAAUCUUUUCAGUCUUGAAUUAAAUAGAUUACUGGUGGUAUGUCACAAUAUGUCAUGUAUUUUAACUCUUGGGGAUUCUCCUAUUUCAUGUGAGUCUUCCUUUUUACUGAUUUCAGCAGCUGCAAAUACUUUUAAGCAAGACAACAAGAAGGGAAGGCAACAAAAGGAUGUGAGAUGGAAAGAGAAGUGGGACUGAGCAUGGAAAAGAGAAUAAAAUAUAGAAAAAGAGGAGGGGAAGAAAUAAGAUUUUGAGGUUAAUGAAAGGAAAACAUGAGAAAUCAUAGAGUGAAACAGAUUAAUGUGUCACCUCUUUCUGAUUUUUUUUUUUCUUAUUCUGUCUCCUCUAAGUCAAGAACUAUCUUAAAAGCAGUGUUCAAAUUUCAGCUGUCUGCUUUUGCCCCAUUCCUCUUUCGAGUACUUGAUUCUGGUCAUAGCAUGUAUUUGGAGAUUUUUGGAAGUUUUCAGUGAGUAGUUCUGCUGCAGCAGUGAAGGAGACUGUGUAGAUCCUACUCACACUCCCUGCAAGGAAAUGUGUAACACAUUCCCUGCUGGUCCUGCAUGCUUUGACACUUCACUGCUGGCCUGUGCCCUAGAAAAGGCUUUCUGCAGGUGCCAUGGGACUUUGCUCAGGAGCAAAUAUUUAUGCAGGAGUGAUAGCAUGUGUUUGCAUCAGGAGUGUAUUUUACUGCAUGUGUAACAGAGAUGAAUGUGUUCCAAGUGCAUGUCUGUAUUUUUAUCCCUCUAAAUUCCUGUGCAAAUUGGAAAGUCUUUGCUGUAAUAUCCUUACCCUGUGCAGUCCUCCCUGUUACCAUCAACACAGGGAGAAGCUGAGCAAGGAAUAUAUUUCCCUUCAAGCUUUAUCAAUGUUUUCCUGAAAAUAUCAAGAUAAUGUGUUUUUGAAAGCCAUGCCGCUCUCCCAUUCAUUUUCAGUCCAACAAGGAUGGGGACAGGAUGUAAAAUUAAACAGAUUCCUAAAGAGGAACACCAGUUGAGAAAUAUAUCCUUAAUAUGUUUAUAAACCACAUGAAUAAUUUGUGUGGUGGAAUAUAUGUUCUAUCAUGUUUUGAUAGGCCUUUUGACUAACAUAUCCCGUGGGUGUUCCUCUUCAUGUCACAGGAAGGUAUUUUUUCAGGAAUGCUCAUCAAUAGAUAAAACCUGAUAGUGGCAAUAAUUUGGCAUAGCUUCUCUUCAGCAAAUGGGUUCCUCUGGCAGUAUCUGAAUUUGUUCCACCUCUGGCAAGUACUUGACAAAUGAGCCCAGUACUGUAGCUCUGUGUUGGUAUUUUUUAUUCGUUAUUUUGGUAGAGUUGAUAAGGCCUGAGGGUUUGAUCCAAAGCUCACAGAAGUCAGGGAAAAGACUCCACAAGCCUUUUUUAGUCACUGGAACUCUGUAUUCUGUAUUUCAGAACUUGGAAAUCUGUGCCAAGAACUUCAUCAAUAACUGAAAGGCUGAAAGAAAUGCAAAGAGCAAACUUCUGGACAGGCAGAACAAAAUAAAAAAAAAAAAAAAAAAGAAGGAAAACAUCCAAUAAAUUCUCAUCAGAAACAAACUGUCUCCAAGUAGCUUUUAUAGGAGACUGUUGGAACAGCUGGGAAAACUGCCAAGCAACUUGUUAGAGACAGUAGGAGCAGGAAUUAAAUCACAGAAAAACAUGAAAAACCUGUAGCUGUGUCUGAACAGUGAAAUAGUUACUAUCAACCAGCAAGAGUAUUAAGCCUUAUAAAUAUCAAGUUUUAGAGCAGUGUGGAAGAACUUCUAAUAUGCAACAUUUUGUUUUCGCAGAUAAAUAUAAAUGACAACUGAAUGUGAAACAUUACAAAGUCUAUGACAUAGUAAAAUUCUUGUUAAAAACAGCCUGGGAAGAGCCUCUAUUGACUUCACAUUUUCACAGUCCUUUCUGCAAGUUUCUUAAGUGAUGUAUAUUAAACCAAAGAUUUAUAGCUCUUUCAUCCUUUCCCAGCAGCUCUUAUGAUCACCUAGAAAGCACAGAAGCUGCGGGUUAGAGGAUAUUUUCAUCUUUCUCCCAUAAUAAACUUGAUGAGCUAUGG